rnacentral:rRNA from 1 species
AGUGAACGCUGGCGGUAGGCCUAACACAUGCAAGUCGAACGGCAGCACAGUAAGAGCUUGCUCUUACGGGUGGCGAGUGGCGGACGGGUGAGGAAUACAUCGGAAUCUACUUUUUCGUGGGGGAUAACGUAGGGAAACUUACGCUAAUACCGCAUACGACCUACGGGUGAAAGCAGGGGAUCUUCGGACCUUGCGCGAUUGAAUGAGCCGCUGUCGGAUUAGCUAGUUGGCGGGUUAAAGGCCCACCAAGGCGACGAUCGGUAGCUGGUCUGGGAGGAUGAUCAGCCACACUGGAACGGAGCCACGGUCCAGACUCCUACGGGAGGCAGCAGUGGGGAAUAUUGGGCAAUGGGCGCAAGCCUGAUCCAGCCAUACCGCGUGGGUGAAGGAGGCCUUCGGUUUGUAAAGCCCUUUUGUUGGGAAAGAAAAGCAGCAGGUUAAUACCCCGCUGUUCUGACGGUACCCAAAGAAUAAGCACCGGCUAACUUCGUG